rnacentral:rRNA from 3 species
CCCGAAUGGGGAAACCCAGUGUGAUUCGUCACACUAUCAUUAACUGAAUCCAUAGGUUAAUGAGGCGAACCGGGGGAACUGAAACAUCUAAGUACCCCGAGGAAAAGAAAUCAACCGAGAUUCCCCCAGUAGCGGCGAGCGAACGGGGAGGAGCCCAGAGCCUGAAUCAGCAUGUGUGUUAGUGGAAGCGUCUGGAAAGGCGCGCGAUACAGGGUGACAGCCCCGUACACAAAAGCGCAUGUGCUGUGAGCUCGAUGAGUAGGGCGGGACACGUGGUAUCCUGUCUGAAUAUGGGGGGACCAUCCUCCAAGGCUAAAUACUCCUGACUGACCGAUAGUGAACCAGUACCGUGAGGGAAAGGCGAAAAGAACCCCGGCGAGGGGAGUGAAAAAGAACCUGAAACCGU